ensembl:lncRNA
UGCUGAUCAACUGGCAGGUGUUUUCACUGAUAUUUUCAACCUCUCACUGAUCCAGUCUGUAAUACCAACAUGUUUCAAGCAGACUACCAUAGUCCCUGUGCCCAAGAACACCAAUUUAACCUGCCUAAAUGCACUCAUGUCUGUAGCCAUGAAGUGCUUUGAAAGGCUGGUAAUGGCUCACAUCAACACCAUCAUCCCAAACACACUAGACCCACUCCAAUUUCCAUACCGCCCCAACAGAUCCACAGAUGACAAUCUUUAUUGCACUCCACACUGCCCUUUCCCACCUGGACAAAAGGAACACCUACAUGAGAAUGCUAUUCAUUGAUUACAGCUCAGCAUUCAACACCAUAGUACCCUCAAAGCUCAUCACUAAGCUAAGGACCCUGGGACUAAACACCUCCCUCUGCAACAGGAUCCUGGACUUACUGAUGGGCCGCCCCCAGGUGGUAAGGGUAGGUAACAACGCAUCUGCCACACUGACCUUCAACACGGGGUCCUUCAGGGGUGCGUGUUUAGUCCCCUCCAAACUCCCUGUACAUCCACAACUGUGUGGCCGCACACCAACUCCAACACCAUCAUUAAGUUUGCUGACGACGCGGCGGUUGUCGGCCUGACCACGCAGCGGUUGUCGGCCUGAUCACGCAGCGGUUGUAGGCCUGAUCACGUGGCGGUUGUAGGCCUGAUCACGCGGCGGUUGUCGGCCUGAUCACGCAGCGGUUGUAGGCCUGAUCACAGAUGACAAUGAGUCUAUAGGGAGGAGGUCAGACACCUGGCAGUGUCAGCAAGACAAAGGACGGGGCUGUAGUGGAGUUGAGAGCUUCAAGUCCACAUCAAAAAGGAUCUAUCACGGUUCACACACACCAACACAGUCAUGAAGAGGUCACAACAACACCUCUUCCUCCUCAGGAGCCUGAAAAAAUUUAGCGUGGGCCCUCAGAUCCUCAAAAAGUUAUACUGCUGCACCAUUGAGAGCAUCUUGACUGGCUACAUCACUGGGGCUGAGUUCCCUGCCAUCCAGGUUCUCUGUACCAGGCGGUGUCAGAGGAAGGCACUAAAAGUUAUCAACGACUCCAGCCCCCUAAAUCAUAAACGAUUCUCUCUGCUACAGCACAGAAAGCACUACCGAUGCACCAAGUCUGGAACCAACAGGACCCUGCACAGCUUCUACCCCCAAGCCAUAAGACUGUUAAAUAGUUGGUUGAAUAGUUAACCAAAUAACUACCUGGACUAUCAAUACCUCAAUUACCUCGUACCCCUGCACAUCAAGGAGAGAGAAGGGAAGAGGAGGAGAGAGAAGGGAAGAGGAGGAGAGAGAAGGGAAGAGGAGGAGAGAGAAGGGAAGAGGAGGAGAGAGAAGGGAAGAGGAGGAGAGAGAAGGGAAGAGGAGGAGAGAGAAGGGAAGAGAGGAGAGAGAAGGGAAGAGGAGGAGAGAGAAGGGAAGAGAGGAACAACACAUAAAUCACAUGUAAUAAUGCCUUUCUCUGACAGACAGGCCCUGCAUAAUGACAGAGGCCGGGUGAUGAAUAUAGAGAAGACAGACAGACAGAGAGACAUAUAUUAUAGUUAGGGUUGUAGUAAAAAACAACUCCUC